GCGCGGACCGUGAUGGAGCUGCACAUCCUAGAGCACCGGGUGCGGGUGCUGAGCCUCGCCCGCCCACGUCUCUGGCUCUACACCCACCCGCUCAUCAAGCUACUCUUCCUUCCCCGCCGCAGCCAGUGCAAGUUCUUCAGCCUGACGGAGACCCCCGAGCAUUACACGCUCAUGGUGGACGAGGAGGGCUUCAAAGAGCUACCCCCAUCUGAGUUCCUUCAAGUGGCUGAGGCCACAUGGCUGGUGCUGAACGUGUCAUCCCACAGCGGUGCAGCAGUGCAGGCUUGCUGGGGUCACCAAAAUUGCCCGCUCAGUCAUUGCGCCGUUGGCGGAGCACCAUGUGUCUGUGCUGAUGCUGUCCACUUACCAGACGGACUUCAUCCUGGUGCGGGAACAGGACCUGUCCGUGGUGAUCCACACACUAUCCCAGGAGUUCGACAUUUACUGAGAAGUGGGUGGGGAGCCUGUGCCUGUUGCCAGGGAUGAUUCCAGCAAUGGCUUUCCCCGUUCUCAGCAUGGGCCCAGCCCCACCGUGCAUCCCAUCCAGAGCCCACAGAAUCGCUUCUGUGUCCUCACACUGGACCCUGAGACAUUGCGAGCCAUCGCUACCACACUCAUCGAUGUCCUCUUCUAUUCAUACAGUGCCCCCAAGGAAGCAGCCUCUGGUGGUACUGGACCCAGCUCCAUUACUUCUUUGCCUUCUCCCUCAUCGAGAGCUACAUCUCCAUCGUCAUGGAUGCUGAGACGCAGAAAAAGUUCCCCAGUGACCUCCCGCUGACCAGCUCCUCAGGAGAGCUGUGGAGAAUGAUGAGUGUGGGAUCGUGGCCCAGAUCGCAGGCCCCCUGGCUGCGGCCAACAUCUCUGCCUACUACAUCAGCACCUUCAACUUUGACCAUUCCCUGGUGCCUGAGGAUGGCAUCGGGAGUGUCAUUGAGGUCCUCCAGCGACGGCAGGUUGGCCAGGGCUCCUGAGGCCUCCACGCUCUCCCUUCGCCCCAGGCUUCCAGAGACUUCUCUAAGCUAUUUCCUCAAGCUCUGGGAUGAGCCCUCCCCACCCCCAUUCCUGCCGGGGGACCUCCUCCUUCUGCUCUCUGUAGGUAAGCUGCGUGCAGGCACCGGCUCUCACGUGGACACGCAUGUCUGCCCACGCAGGGGAACACGGUGCUCUGGGCUUCCUCCGGGAACCCCUCACCCCAUCACUCCCUGCACGGCCUCAGCGUUUGCACAUUCCCUGCCUGAGGUCCGAGCCAUCACCCCUCUCAGCGCCCCGGGCCAGCCGCUCCCUGGACAGGGCCCUGAUUUUCGUUCUGCCUCUGGCUGGGUUGCCUUCCCUGGCCAGGUGAUUCUGACAGUG